AUCUAUUUCUUCUCCUCCCACCGUCUCUUCUUCUAUAGUGGUCUUUGUCUUUCGGAUUGUACCAUUUUUAUCUACUUCAACUCGCUUCACUCUCUUCUACAAGUGCAGAAUCACCCUUUCUCAACAUAGGUGACGGUUAACCGACUGGAUUCUUCUGAUGAGAGUGAGAAUCAUGAAAAACAACAAGAGCCCGCACAAAAAGAUCCACCAUUGAAGGGUUUCGGUGAAGAAAGAAAAUUAUUGAGAAGAUUGAUGGAAUUAGAAUCUGAGAACAGGGCGAGUUUAAUCAAGAAUCAAGAUACCAAAGAGAAUAAGAAAGAGGAAGAUGGUAAAUUUGUAAUAUUGGAUGGUAAUAAGGGCAAAAAUGCCGAAGGGAUUCAUUAUAAAAUGUCUACGCCUUCACAGUUGUACGUUGUUUUGAGGACAAUGAUAUUGUUCAUGUAAGUGGGCAAGUUGAUCCCAGCUCAGACAUUGAUGUCAUGAGACAAAUUUACAGUAUGCUUGAAGAGAAGGCGUUUUGGAAUAAAUACAUCUGCUAAAUGUGAUUCGUUUGAUGUUAAAGGUGCUGGAGUGCUAUAAGAGAAAGGUAAUUGUUCACUUAAUUAAUGGAUUAUUUGCUCAAGUGUUGCAUUUAUAGGAUAAUUAGGGCUUUUUUGGUUGAAGAACAAACGAUUGUAAAGAAGGUGUUGAAUAUCCACAGGGAAAAAAGAAAAGUUAAUGUGAAGAGGUAGAGUGUAAUCGGACCUAUGCUUUCAUUACUUCUUUAGAUUUUUUUUUGAACUCUAUUUUGGUUUCUGUUUUUGUUGUUUUCACUUUAAAAUUACUUUCUUAUAAAUUCAUGCUUCAGAUAUUACUUGCAUCCAAGAUUAGUGUUUUCAUACUCUUUGAGAAUAAUUAUAAUUAGAAAACAAAACAAUAAAAUAAAAUCAAUACAUUUAUCCAUUUUGCUUAAAAACAAAAAAUUAAUUUCUUUGAAGAUUCCUAUCCCACUAUAUUUUAUACCUCUACGAUAGCAUUGGUUGAUGCAGGUGAUAUAUGUGGUUUAUGUUGAUUUCGUAUACUGGCAGGUAAUUUAGCUUACACUGGACCUCAAAUGGAAAAAGUUACUCUAUUUUAUUAAGAAAAAGGAACGAUAAAUUACUUGUGCUUUAAUGUUGUUGCUCAUUGCUAUCUUCUUCUUUUAUUGAGACAUUAUGCAUAGGGGUAUUUAAUAUUUACUUUAUGUUGUAUUGACAAUUUUGAAUAUAGUUCCUUCCUUAUAUUCCCUUUUUUUCUGAA